UACGGAGGGUGCGAACGUUAAUCGGAAUCACUGGGCGUAAAGCGUGCGCAGGCGGUUUUGUAAGUCUGUCGUGAAAUCCCCGGGCUCAACCUGGGAAUUGCGAUGGAGACUGCAAGGCUAGAAUCUGGCAGAGGGGGGUAGAAUUCCACGUGUAGCAGUGAAAUGCGUAGAGAUGUGGAGGAACACCGAUGGCGAAGGCAGCCCCCUGGGUCAAGAUUGACGCUCAUGCACGAAAGCGUGGGGAGCAAACAGG
rnacentral:rRNA from 1 species